rnacentral:rRNA from 1 species
UAUACCGCAACGUGUACUAUUUUUGGUUCAUUUUACUAUAGAAACUAUUGAAGCACCUGUACGAAAAUAUAGUAGAUUGAAACUAGAAUAGUACACCUCUACUUCUAAAACAUUGUUAGAAAUCGAUUUGACUGUCCCGAUCGAUUCGUCCUGUUAUUAUUUCAUUUUACUAUACAUUAUGAAAAAGGGGAGAUAGAAAGCAAACAGCCUUGAAAUCAAUGUUGACUGCGAUUAUGAACCUGAAUCAGCCCCUCAAAAGGGACUGUAUAUGAAUGAACGUUACCAGUGUUUAAAAACUAAAGAAUAUCAGGCACUUUUAUCUUCCAAGGGUAGACAAAUUUUCGCUAAACGUAAGAUUGAUAUGAAAUCUGUCUUUGGGCAGAUAAAGGUUUGUUUGGGUUAUAAGAGAUGUCAUCUGAGAGGUAAGCGUCAAGUGAGAAUUGACAUGGGAUUCAUACUCAUGGCCAACAACCUGCUGAAAUAUAAUAAGAGAAAGAGGCAAAAUUAAAAAGCUAGAGUUCCGCAAUUGGGAAUCUCUAGCUUUUUGUUUUCUGAGAAUCAUCUUGACUCAGACUCUUUUGACUAAUGUUACCAAAAAAGAUAAAGUAACUUUUAACCUUAUUUAUCGUCGCCACUCAACAUGUUUUUAACACCUUCUACAGCACCUUCUACAGCGUCUUUAGCGUCUUCGGCAACUUCUUUUACUUUAGAAACAACUUUUUCAGCUGCUCCUUCUUUUUCCAUUUUUUCAUCACCGAUGGCUUUCCCAACACCUUCUUUAAUAGAACCUUUAGCUUGAUUUAAUUUUUCUUCUACUGACAUGAUAAUUUCUCCUGUUAUAUUUAUUUUAUCUUAGUUUACACGAGUGUUUUCGUGAGAUACUACACCAUUUGCUGCACCUUUAACAGCUUCUACACCUUCGCUAACUUUUUCUUGAACAGUUGAGAAACCAGAUCCAAGACCAGAUUUAGCUUUUUCGAAUUGUUCUGAAGUGAAUUCUCCUGUUGAUUCAGCAACGUCAGAUACGCGAUCUUGAAGGCUUACUGAGUCUGCUUCAUGCUGUUCUUUAGUUUUGAUGUCGACAACGUUUACGUUGAUUUCAACAAUUUCCAAGUCAGUCAUUUUAGCAACUUCUGAAGAUACGAUUUCUCUGAUUUCUGAAUAUAAAGCUGGAACAUUUUUUUGGUACUCAACAAUAACGUUUAAGUCAACUGCAACUUGUGUUUUACCAACUUCUACGUUAACACCACUUGUUACGUCAUCGCUGUUAACGAUUUUUUCUUUAAGAUUUGAGAAGAAACCACCAUCGAUUCCCAAAAGACCUGAAACGUUUUCUAGUGAAAGACCAAUGAUUUUUUGGAUAACUUUAUCUUCGUAAGUAAGUUCCCCUUUGAUUUCGUGAGCUACAACAGUAGCAUCUUUCUUUUCUACGUUAGUGUUUGUGUUUUUUUCGUUUGACAUAUGAAACUCCUUUAAUUAAAUUAGUAAUUUUUAUUUUUUUAUUUAUCUAUAUAGUUUUUUUCGAUAUAUAAUCCAGCUGCAACUCCCAGUGCUCCUAAAAUCAAUACAAAUAUUGUUUUGAAGAAGCCAAAGGAGACAAUCAAACAAGCCAGAAAUACGCCUAUGAGACCAGCGAUAAUUGGAUAUCGAUAUUGUUUAAGCCAUUCCAUUUUUUACUUCCUUACUUCACACGACUAACAGUCUUUUUGUUUUGAGGUUUUGGUUGGUAAUUUUUUACUGCAACUUCAAGUUUUACUUGACGCUCAAUACCAAAAAACUGCUUCAAUCCAUUAGUUAUUUCAUUUUGAAUUAUUUGGCAUCUGUCAGCGAUGUUGUCUGAAGGAAGAAUUUUACCUUCUACAUGAACGAAACAUUUAUUUUUUCGUAAAUUUACAUGAACAGUUGGGUUCUUGAUCAAUCUAUGAUCACUCACCAAACUUCUAACAAAACCUUCGAUUGCCGAAUUCUUUAAUUUUAAUGUAUCGUUUUUAGUUUCAAGUUGGAUUUCCAAGUAACGUUUAGGAUAAAACAUCACAACUAAAAUGGAUAAUAAAACUAAAGUUGAUAGAACCACUGUCCCCCAAAAGACAUAUCUAGCAAGAUAGAAUUCAACUACGGAGUUCUGUCUCCAGCUAAGUAGAUGAAUACCUAGAUCACUAACUUGAUGAUAAUCUAUCAAAACAGGAAGGAAAAUUGUCAAGAUUAAAAUACAGAAAAUAAUGAAACAUAUUUUCUUUGCUUUUGACAUAUACAAUCCUUUCGAUUUAACAUUUAAACUAUUUUUCCCGUCAUUGAUUUAAAAAUAGUUUGCUAACUUUACUGGCGAAAAGUUUACUUUCUACCUGUAAAGAAUGACACUACAGUAAUCACAAUCGCUGCACCUACAAUAGAUGGGAGCAAAGCCAUUCCAGCGAUUGAUGGACCCCAACUACCUAAAAGAGAUUGUCCUGCAUAUGCCCCGACUAAACCAGCGAAUACAUUUGCGAUGAUUCCCAUAGAACUACUUUUUUAGUGAUUUUACCUGCCAAGAGACCAAUAAGACCUCCAGCAAUAAUUGAUCACAACACUGCCUACCCUCCUUUUUUAUUUUAAUAUCAAAAAAUCAAUUUCUUUGAUUAAUACUAUUAUAUAACUUUAAUAUAGAAAAGUCAAUUAUUUCGAUUGUUAUUAUUAUAUAAUUUUAAAAAAUCAAAUUCUUUAAUUGUUGCUAUUAUAUAAUUUUUAAAAUUAAAAAUAUAAUCUUUAGACUUGAAUUUGAUUCUGUAUUCACGCCCUCAAUAGACGGUAAAAUAAGAAAAUUGUUUAUAUAUUGUCUCCGUAGUGUUAUUAUACGAAAUAAAAGAUUUUAGGAAAAGUCGUUAUAUCAUGCUAUACCUAUUCUUUGUGGUAUAAUUGCAAGAGGUUUAAUCCGAUAAUUUAUAAAGAGAGAAAGAUAUUCAUGAGAGAUUUAUUAUCUAAAAAAAGUCAUAGGCAAUUAGAAUUAUUANAAGCACCCCGGGAGGGGAGUGAAAUAGAACCUGAAACCGUGUGCCUACAACAAGUUCGAGCCCGUUAAUGGGUGAGAGCGUGCCUUUUGUAGAAUGAACCGGCGAGUUACGUUAUGAUGCGAGGUUAAGUUGAAGAGACGGAGCCGUAGGGAAACCGAGUCUGAAUAGGGCGCCUUAGUAUCAUGACGUAGACCCGAAACCAUGUGACCUACCCAUGAGCAGGUUGAAGGUGCGGUAAGACGCACUGGAGGACCGAACCAGGGCACGUUGAAAAGUGCUUGGAUGACUUGUGGGUAGCGGAGAAAUUCCAAACGAACUUGGAGAUAGCUGGUUCUCUCCGAAAUAGCUUUAGGGCUAGCGUCGACAUUAGAGAUUCUUGGAGGUAGAGCACUGUUUGGGUGAGGGGUUCAUCCCGGAUUACCAAUCUCAGAUAAACUCCGAAUGCCAAUGAAUUAUGGUCGGCAGUCAGACUGCGAGUGCUAAGAUCCGUAGUCGAAAGGGAAACAGCCCAGACCACCAGCUAAGGUCCCAAAAUAAUUGUUAAGUGGAAAAGGAUGUGGGGUUGCACAGACAACUAGGAUGUUAGCUUAGAAGCAGCUAUUCAUUCAAAGAGUGCGUAAUAGCUCACUAGUCGAGUGACCCUGCGCCGAAAAUGUACCGGGGCUAAAACAAUUUACCGAAGCUGUGGAUACCUUUAUAGGUAUGGUAGGAGAGCGUUCUAUGUGUGAUGAAGGUAUACCGUGAGGAGUGCUGGAACGCAUAGAAGUGAGAAUGCCGGUAUGAGUAGCGAAAGACAGGUGAGAAUCCUGUCCACCGUAAGACUAAGGUUUCCAGGGGAAGGCUCGUCCGCCCUGGGUUAGUCGGGACCUAAGGAGAGACCGAAAGGUGUAUCCGAUGGACAACAGGUUGAUAUUCCUGUACUAGAGUAUGUAGUGAUGGAGGGACGCAGUAGGCUAACUAAAGCAGACGAUUGGAAGAGUCUGUCUAAGCAGUGAGGUGUGAAUUGAGUCAAAUGCUUAAUUCUAUAACAUUGAGCUGUGAUGGGGAGCGAAGUUUAGUAGCGAAGUUAGUGACGUCACACUGCCAAGAAAAGCUUCUAGCGUUUAAACAUACUCUACCCGUACCGCAAACCGACACAGGUAGUCGAGGCGAGUAGCCUCAGGUGAGCGAGAGAACUCUCGUUAAGGAACUCGGCAAAAUGACCCCGUAACUUCGGGAGAAGGGGUGCUGACUUAAAGUCAGCCGCAGUGAAUAGGCCCAAGCAACUGUUUAUCAAAAACACAGCUCUCUGCUAAAUCGUAAGAUGAUGUAUAGGGGGUGACGCCUGCCCGGUGCUGGAAGGUUAAGAGGAGUGCUUAGCGUAAGCGAAGGUAUGAAUUGAAGCCCCAGUAAACGGCGGCCGUAACUAUAACGGUCCUAAGGUAGCGAAAUUCCUUGUCGGGUAAGUUCCGACCCGCACGAAAGGCGUAAUGAUUUGGGCACUGUCUCAACGAGAGACUCGGUGAAAUUUUAGUACCUGUGAAGAUGCAGGUUACCCGCGACAGGACGGAAAGACCCCAUGGAGCUUUACUGCAGUUUGAUAUUGAGUGUCUGUACCACAUGUACAGGAUAGGUAGGAGUCUACGAGAUCGGGACGCCAGUUUCGAAGGAGACGCUGUUGGGAUACUACCCUUGUGUUAUGGCCACUCUAACCCAGAUAGGUGAUCCCUAUCGGAGACAGUGUCUGACGGGCAGUUUGACUGGGGCGGUCGCCUCCUAAAAGGUAACGGAGGCGCCCAAAGGUUCCCUCAGAAUGGUUGGAAAUCAUUCGCAGAGUGUAAAGGUAUAAGGGAGCUUGACUGCGAGAGCUACAACUCGAGCAGGGACGAAAGUCGGGCUUAGUGAUCCGGUGGUUCCGUAUGGAAGGGCCAUCGCUCAACGGAUAAAAGCUACCCUGGGGAUAACAGGCUUAUCUCCCCCAAGAGUUCACAUCGACGGGGAGGUUUGGCACCUCGAUGUCGGCUCGUCGCAUCCUGGGGCUGUAGUCGGUCCCAAGGGUUGGGCUGUUCGCCCAUUAAAGCGGCACGCGAGCUGGGUUCAGAACGUCGUGAGACAGUUCGGUCCCUAUCCGUCGCGGGCGUAGGAAAUUUGAGAGGAUCUGCUCCUAGUACGAGAGGACCAGAGUGGACUUACCGCUGGUGUACCAGUUGUCUUGCCAAAGGCAUCGCUGGGUAGCUAUGUAGGGAAGGGAUAAACGCUGAAAGCAUCUAAGUGUGAAACCCACCUCAAGAUGAGAUUUCCCAUGAUUAUAUAUCAGUAAGAGCCCUGAGAGAUGAUCAGGUAGAUAGGUUAGAAGUGGAAGUGUGGCGACACAUGUAGCGGACUAAUACUAAUAGCUCGAGGACUUAUCCAA